rnacentral:rRNA from 1 species
UACAGAGGUCUCAAGCGUUGUUCGGAUUCAUUGGGCGUAAAGGGUGCGUAGGUGGCGGGGCAAGUUUGGUGUGAAAUCCUAGGGCUCAACCCUGGAACUGCACUGAAUACUGCUUUGCUAGAGUACUGGAGAGGGAACUGGAAUUUACGGUGUAGCAGUGAAAUGCGUAGAUAUCGGGAGGAAUACCAGUGGCGAAGGCGGCCUUCUGGACGGAUACUGACGCUGAGGCGCGAAAGCCAGGGGAGCAAACGGG